GACGAACGCUGGCGGCGUGCUUAACACAUGCAAGUCGAACGGGAAGGCCCUGCUUUUGUGGGGUGCUCGAGUGGCGAACGGGUGAGUAACACGUGAGUAACCUGCCCUUGACUUUGGGAUAACUUCAGGAAACUGGGGCUAAUACCGGAUAGGAGCUCCUGCUGCAUGGUGGGGGUUGGAAAGUUUCGGCGGUUGGGGAUGGACUCGCGGCUUAUCAGCUUGUUGGUGGGGUAGUGGCUCACCAAGGCUUUGACGGGUAGCCGGCCUGAGAGGGUGACCGGCCACAUUGGGACUGAGCUACGGCCCAGACUCCUACGGGAGGCAGCAGUGGGGAAUAUUGCACAAUGGGCGGAAGCCUGAUGCAGCAACGCAGCGUGCGGGAUGACGGCCUUCGGGUUGUAAACCGCUUUCGCCUGUGACGAAGCGUGAGUGAAGGUAAUGGGUAAAGAAGCACCGGCUAACUACGUG
rnacentral:rRNA from 1 species